GCAUAACAAGCACUUCCACCGCCAUUCUCCGCAUCUCACAUAAUCAUCUUUGAUCCUCAAUGAUCAUUCAUUUUUCCCUUGCUUCACUCGCAAGUUACCACAUUCACUAGCCCUUUUUCUCAUGCUAGGCAUAUCAUAAUGAUUUAAGACAUAAGUGGUGAGAUCGGAGGCUUAGAAGUAUGAAAUUUGGCUUUUAAAACUCAAAAAUCAACUUUGGGAUGAAAACAGGGCCACGCGUAC
rnacentral:lncRNA from 1 species